ACUCAAAGGAAUUGACGGGGGCCCGCACAAGCGGUGGAGCAUGUGGUUUAAUACGUUACUAACCGUAGAACCUUACCAGGGUUUGACAUGGCGUGCUAUGCUAUGAAAGUAGCCUUCUCCGCAAGGAGACACGCACACAGGUGUUGCAUGGCUGUCGUCAGCUCGUGUCGUGAGAUGUUGGGUUAAGUCCCGCAACGAGCGCAACCCUCAUCCCAUGUUGCCAUCGGGUCAAGCCGGGAACUCUUGGGAAACUGCCGGGGUAACUCGGAGGAAGGUGAGGACGACGUCAAGUCAGCAUGGCCCUUACAUCCUGGGCUACACACAUGCUACAAUGGACGGUAGACAGAGGGAUCCGAGACCGCGAGGUGGAGGCAAUCUCAGAAAUCCGUUCUCAGUUCGGAUCGUAGGCUGCAACUCGCCUACGUGAAGCCGGAAUCGCUAGUAAACGCAGGUCAGCUAAACUGCGUUGAAUACGUUCCCGGGCCUUGUACACACCGCCCGU
rnacentral:rRNA from 1 species